CCAGGGAAGCCCUCUUAUGCAACCUAGUUCUGGAGGCUGGAGGUCCAAGAUCAAGGGGCCGGCAGAUUCGGUGUCCGGUCACCACAGAGCACUGAGUAGAGUUCCACACAGCCAGAUAUUGUUGAUGUUCAUUGCAAGGACUCAUCAUCUGGAGAAAGAUCAUCACAAAAAUAUUUAAUUAAUUAAUAACUGCCUUAUUCUAAAAAAGGAUAUGAGACAGCUAAAUCUUAAAGUAUGCACAGGUGCAAAUUUUAAUAUAACA